UGGAUCUAGUAAAGCAUUAAAUUCAUCUCAAGCUCAACAACAUAUUCUUAGGCCUGCCUAUAACUUCCAACCAGCAUUGAAAGAGCUGAGGCAUCAUGCAGGAUCUCCAAGGGUUUCUUGAGUAAACUGGUUACUCUGUAAUAUGGCAGGAUCUCCAAGGGUUUCUUGAGUAAACUGGUUACUCUGUAAUAUGGCAGGAUCCAAAAUUAGGACAAAGAAUUCCCAUGCAGACUGUGUAAGAAGCAGUGAGGUCUGUGGAAAAGCAACAGCCUAAGUGCAUUACCCAGGCCUGUUGUUCCCACUGGGGCCUUUGUAGAUGAAGCAGGUGCCCCGUGUGAAUUGCUAUAGGAAGGCCAUCAACAGUCUUUCUAACGCUGCAUUCUCACCCUCUCCUGACACGUUCGGAAAAAUGUUGCCUCUAUUGCCUAGUUGUGCUGGUGCUAGGAGACUGGUUGGCCUUGCUUUAGGAGCAGUGGGGAAGGAACCUUGAGACUCUUGGACUGGGAAAGCAGGAAAACAGACCAACAGCAGCCAUGUACAGUUGGAGCGUGGACUGAGGAGAACCAGGAAGGAAGCACAGAACAAGAGCUAUCAUGAGCCACCACGGCAGCUUCCCUACCUCACCUCCCCCAAAUUGUACGCUGACUAAGGGUUCUGCCUUGGAAAGCGGUCUGAGUGUGUCUGGACCUCUUCAAGUUACAAACCCCGUCCCCGGCCAACUGCCCGACUGCCCGCGGACUUACCAGGCCCGGUGAGGUCUUCCCGUUCUGCCUCCUG